AGACAGGAUGAGAGGAGGAUAAGGCUAAAGACAGAGGCUCCAGCUACCUUGGUGACAAGGAAUGGAGGAGAAAAGGAACAGGAAAUUUUAAUAAGAUUAGGAGGGCUUGCUUUUCUGCCAAGUGAGCCGCUUUCACAGGAGCGAUAAAUUGGAAAUGUUAUCUGGCUUGAUAUGCCAGUUUUUCUGAGAAAAUCACUCUGCCAGUGGUGACAGAAUGGAAGAGCUGAAAACAUCUUCUUUUUUCAAAGUCAUAUGUCACGAACCAAGGAGACUCCAAAAAAUAAAUUAUGGAAGAUUAUGACCACUGCUGCCAAGGAUACAGUGAAAUAGAUCCAUUAAAGAAUUGAGAUUGCAGGACACACUACCACCCUGAAAACUGGAGAGAGGAAAAAUACAGAGAGGAAGCAGAUCAGCUUACCUGAAGCAGAGGCCGCUGGAAUCUGUGACAGGCUGCAUUUGUAACCAAGCCGUGGUCCUUUUCAUUGCAUCUUGCCAGAAUGAAGAAGAGCUGAUCUCUCCAGUUCCUGUUAUUCCCCUUACAUUGCCCACAUUUAUUGCUCAAUAAACCACAGAAAUCCUUCU
rnacentral:lncRNA from 1 species